rnacentral:tRNA from 1 species
GAGGGUAUAGCUCAAGUGGUAGAGCACAUGCUUAGCAUGCACGAGGUCCUGGGUUCAACUCCCAGUACCUCCU